AAAUAUGACAUAAAAUUUAGCAUAUAUAAUUGAUACAUUUUAGAUGUCUAUCAAAUAAGAAUAUUAUGUGGGUUUUAUUUAAAACCACUCUUCAAAAUUGGGUGUAUAUGAAAAUUUCCCUUACAAAUAACCUAAUGGGGGAGUGUGUUUUCACAACAUGUUAAUAAACUGAACCAUCAAUUGCAAUUGGAAACUGUUUCGAAGUAACGUACAUUAUUCACAAAUCACAACAUCAGUGUUAGUAUGAAAAAUAAUAAAUGAGUCGGUCGAUCGACAACCAUUCUAUGCAGCAGUGCGACUUAAAAGUUAUAUGUGCUUGAGUGCUUCGCAAAAUAUUAUUAGCAACUUAUCCCGCUCUUGUACAACUUGACCAUAGCGACUAGCUGAUCGAUCACUUUCAUCUCCAGUUUCAUGCUCGAAGCCUUUUGGGACUCAACCCCCACAUCACGUUGAUCCCGAAGGCAAAGAUGGAUAAGGAAGCAGGGAUGAGAAACCGAAACUGCACUUGAGAUACAUGAUACAUGCGACACAACAUGUAGUCUUCAUGGUACGAGCUGAGGGAAAUGAAUGAACUUAAGAACAAGGAAGCAUAUCUGGCUUCAGAUUAUAUUGUACUACACAUGUAUAGUACAACUUGAAGUAUAAACUUGGUAUGGCUUUAAAAGUUUCAAACUUUAUAGGUUCAGAUGUUUGAAUUAUUGAUUUUAACGCUUUUGAUCUAUCAUAUGACUUAUGAUAUAGAAAAAUACUAUUCAAGUUUAUCCAGAGUUAUAUAUAUGUUACAACUUAGAAAUGUCAAUGGUGAAGUAAGGAUUUCAACCACCCAACCUUUUGUAGAUGAAGGUUUUAGAGGGGGGAGGUGAAUAGGCCCUUAACAACUUUUUUUCCAUAUAAAUUUGUUCUUAGAGAUAACAAGGGUUAUAGUUAUUGUCAUGACCCACCCCGAAUUUCACCCUGAAACCCGAAGUAAAUCCUACGGGGACCACCUCCAAGGAAAGUUUACCGAAAAAUUCAGCAUAACCCCCCUUGAAAAUGGACAACCCUUCCUAAUAAUACCUGCAUACACUUCAAAAGAAUCCAUUUAUAAUCCUCUACUCCUGGAGCCUUCGUGCUCCCCAAAUCACAACACCACCCAAAAUUUACUAAUCUAAACAAAUCUCCUAUCCAACCAUUUAUAGGUUCAGAGCAACUCUAACAAGAAUAAAGGAAACAAAAUAAAUUAACAAGCGGAAGCUAUAUGAUGACUAUGCCUCAUCUCCAGGUACGCCCGACCUCAACUAAGCUAACCUGCAAGCUGGGUAUUUUUAAAACGAAGGGCUCAGGGGAAAACAUUUGAAACACGUUAGAGUGAGUGGACAAAAUCAUAAAUUUAAUGAAAAUAUUUAUGCUUUCCCAAUUACAUUUCCAUAGAAAAUAUGCUGCAUACGACAGCUCAAAAACGCUCAACACAAAAACUGGCAAUUUCAUGACUAGCUCCGGCCAGUCUCCAAAGCACAAUAAAAUACAGUCUCUCAGGCUAAAAUAAAAUAUGUAUGUAUUACACUCGUCAUAUCCCUUGUAUGAAUUUUCUUGAAACAACAAAGACAAAUAGAAAAUUCACACAAGGCUACGACGUUUGCGUCUAACGCUCACGUCGCACCAUAAUGGCAUUUUACCUCAUUAUGGUGGAAAAGACAGUGUAUAAAUAUAUACGCGCAUAUCCCCUAUAUAAAUUAUUAUAUUUAUAUAGGGCUACGACGAUUGCGUCUAACGCUCACGUCGCACCAUAAUGGAAUUUUUACCUCAGUAUGGUGGAAAAGCACAUAUAGCUAGCUAGCAUUCCUUCAUAUACAUAUUAUUCUCAUAAUCAUCCAACUAUGGAUAUAUAUAUAUAUAUAUACAUACUCACCGAAAAUCUCAUUUUCAAUAACUCUUCAAAAAUAAUAAAAAUUGUCAAUUGCAAAAGAAGUAAUAAAUAUAUGGCUACACCAAAAAUCUCAUUUCCGAUAACUUUCCAAAUAGCGAAAUUAACAAAAUAAAAUAAGAGCAUUUACUUCCAAAAAUAACUUCGCGAAAAUAAACAAUUCCACAAAUUGAUAUUCAAUAAAAUCAUUCAUUUAAAAUGAAAUCACCGCAUGCUUAUAAUUUAAAACGAACGUCCACUCACAACUCUAGGCAUAAGCCCGACGAAAUCCAAAUCGCCACUCCAAUGAGGUUUCCUCGAACCCUGGCACAAAUAUAUAAUUAAAUUCUCAACUAAAAUCCAAUAUUUAAACAAAAUAGGCAAAAUUAAAUAUGAGCCGCAACCACGCUUAUCCUUGCCCAACUUCGCAUUUCCUAAAACGAAACGAUCCAACUUUAAUACCAUAAUCGGCAGCCAUAAUUACAACUUCCCCCAGAAAAUGACUUAAAUCCUACGGCCGGAUUCUACCUUAUUUAUCGCCAAAAUUACCAAACUUCGGAAAUUCACAAACCUAUCCAAAACUCAUCCAAAAAUUCCAAAGUUCACAUCAUUAAACUCCCCUUAAUAUUCCACACUUAAAACUAUACAAAAUUCCCAACCAGCGGCCGCGCCGGAGGCGGCUCCGCGGGCAGCGGCGGCCGGAGGCCGAUUCCGGCGACCUCCAAUGCCCACCAAAUUUUAACAGCAUCUUCCUCUCAACUCCCUCUACAACUUUCCUAACUAGCAUAAACACAAAAUCCAAGCCUAGCUAGGGCAAUCGAACACAAACACCUAAAGAGCCCUAGGAUUUCAACUUUAAAUUUCUCCUUACCUAGCUGAAGAGGGAGUGAGCCUUUUGGAAGGAUUGAUGCACGGGAGGAGAGCUUCAAAACCAUAUAAGGCUUGCCCGGAUUAGUGGCCGGAGGAGGAAGUUCCGACGACCGGAAGUUCUGGGCAGUCAAACCUUUCGGGCGGCACCGCUCUCUCACGGUGGAGCUAGGGCUCCUCUCACCGGUCCAGGGAGGUUGCUGGGUUGGAGGUCGACCGAACGGGGCCGGUGCGGCGGCGGUUGGUGGCCGGACGACGGCGGAUGAGCAGCCGGAAGUUUCAGCUGCGGGAAAGCUCGAGGAUGAGGCCGGGAGGGAGAGAUGAAGAGAGAGGGAAAAGAAAUGGGUGUUUGGGCCUCACACCCACCCGGUCCAACACCAUAUAACAACCCACUCCAAAAUAAAACACCCCGAAAAAAAAUAAUACCCGAAUAAAAAUUACCUUUUACUAGCUAAAAUUUACCAUUUUUACCGUCGUCAUAUUUUCUUCCUACGAAUAAUCCUCCGCACAUAACCGUCCCCGAAACCCGUCUAGGGACCAAUUAAAACUAUAACCUCAAUGACGGAGACGGUAAAAUUCUUAUUAUAACCAAGCUAGUAAAUAAGGUAAAAAUUUACGGGUCGGGAUGUGACAAUUCUCCCCUCCUUAUAAAAAUUUCGUCCUCGAAAUUUACAUACCUGACAUUCGAAGAGAUAAGGAUACUGCUGCCUCAUUUGCUUCUCUGAUUCCCAAGUAGUUUCCUCUACUUGACGACUUCUCCAUAGAACUUUAACAAGAGGAAAAUGAUUUGCUUCUAAGCACUUGCUCCUUUGGGUCAAGAAUCUGAACCGGCUCCUUAUCAUAGGUCAAAACUUUUUCCAAUUAAUCGGCUGCUCUUGCAACACAUGAGAGAAAUCGGAAAUAAACUUGCGAAGCAUGGAUACAUGAAACACAUUAUGUAUCUUGGAUAACUCUGGAGGCAAAACUAAUCGAUACGCAAGAGAGCCAACUUGAUCUUAAAACCCAUAAGGACCAAUAAAUCUCGGACCAAGCUUUUCACAUCACCAAAACGUAUCACCCCUUUCCAAGGAGACAAUUUCGAAAAACACCCCAAAUACUCACUUGAAACUCAUGGUCCUUCCUGCGGACAUCUUUAUAACUCUUCUGGCUACUAUGACUUGCUUUGAGUGUAUCUCGGACUCCUUUAACCUUUUUAUUUGAAUCUUGUAUUAUUUUAGAUCUUAUCAAAGACUCUAAAUCCUUCGUUGAACUACCACUAACGUUUACACGUAAGUGGGUUCAGUGAUACCUGCUCUAGGGUACGAGUACCCGUAGGUAUGCACACUCUUUCCUGAGCAAUGGAAAUAGCUAACUCAAAUAAAGCGCAUAAAUUGCUAUCACCAUCAGGCUAAAAUCUCCUAACGUCACGCAACAACCUCGUCAUUACGCUGCUCACAGCUCGACAAUGAAGCCCACUUGCUAGGAAACUAAAGUUCACACGUUCCCACAUGCUCAUAGGGGUCAAAAUUAAGACCCGUUAAUUGAACAGAUUUUUUAAGGAUGCACACACUGCAGAACUGCAAUAAUCACUUCUAAUGCCGAGACAUUUCGUAGAGUCUUUCGCGGAGUCAAAGCUCUCGCAAGUCCACAAGACAACCUUGCUCUCCACCAACAUAUGAUAACCUCGAUUCUCGAAAUAACAUUAUGAAAAGAUCAAAACCACGCCACUUGGGUCUCUCCACCAAAACUAUUACAUUACCUUUUUGAACACCACAAACUAGCAGCUUAUGAGAAUUUCAACUCUCUUAUGAUUCUGCUAUCUCCACUACUACACUUUGUGGCUCACCAACCAACGAAAACCAUAUAAUCAAGAAAAGCAAAAAUUCAUGGCUAAACUCAGCUCAAAUUCCAGAAGAAAUAACUGAAAACACACGAAAGGCACGUCCUCUAACUUCGAGCUCAAAAGCUCCACAAAUCAGCGACGUCCACUAGAACCCGCUUCGAAAACGCACUAGAAACCAACAUUUAAAUAGUGAUUUCAACUAAUCACUCUGACACAAACGGAGGAACACAACCAAAAAGCAAAGACCUCCCAAAAUCAAACUUGGAUCAAUAAGUGGUCCCACCAUAAUACGAUCUCGAGAAAAGAUAUCGAUCGACUUACCAAUAUCUCUACUAACCACAACACGCAACUCUUAAUAAACCUUGACUCGAAAAGCUUCUUGAGUCAACAGGGGAAAACCCUUUUCCAUAAUGCUACAUCAUGAAAUAUACCUAUAACGAAGCAAACCAUCAUAAUCAACAUCACCAUGCAACUCUCAAACUACCACAUAGGAUUUACGGCAUCGAGACUCACCGCUUAAAUGAACUCCAGCUCACUUGGGAUCACCACUGGAUUUAUUCCGAAUCCAUGACUACGACACAACUACCAAUUUAUCAUUUACCUCGAAACUUCGACAAAAUAACCAAAAUCUCUACCCUUCAAAUCGAAGCGUUGAAUUCGCAUUCCAUAAUUUCAAGCUCUGACGAUACUACCCAAAAACUACAGUAGGAAUAAUUUAAAUAUUCUCACACACACCACAACCAAAACUUUGCUGCAUCUCACCAAAUUAUAAAUAAGGUGAGUGAACAUAUACUCCCAUUGAGGUGUCGUAGCUAGCCACCAAAUGCUAACGAAAAGAUGUUAGCAAACAACUCCGAUCGUGAAGUCGAGACUUAAAUCAACCACCCGAAAUGACACUGCUUAAAAAAAAAAAAUUACUUUGGACACCCACGCACUCUUGCUCCAUGAUCCAGUGGGUUUUAUUCCACUGCUACUACUUCCACCAACUCCACACAACUGCUAAAGAAUACCUAUGACAACACGUAAUAAAUUCACCAGGUGUUGUCAUAAAACUGGAGUGACCACAACCAUCCCGCUCUCACUCCACCAUUACUUUUCAAUUCCAUUACAUUAUCAUCUUCCCAAACACUCAACAAAUUUGGAAACCAAACUUCAACAUCUGGAAUUCCGAAAGAAACCAUAAUGGCCCCACGAUUAAAAUAAUAUAACUGACAUCUCACUCCCCGAUUCCAAACUCGCUUGAAACUCAAAACAUUUAGUGCCAUCAAUAAAAUUUUAAAAAUUCCCCGAUUGUGGCACAACAAGAAGUUGUCACAACGCACUGACGAAUGACUUUUGUAAAACCAACAAUCCAAUUCAUUCUAUUUAGAGCUUUAACAAACUUCAACUAACCCACAAUAGAGACCAAAAUCAUCAGAAAUCUUUCUUUUCAUCGACUAUUAUCAUCCAUCAUUUUCAAAAUAUAUUACCGCUGCCAUCUUAAUAAAAUGCUCUAAGGAUAGAAACAUAUCUGUAAUUAGCACUGCAGAAACCAGAAUAUAUACCACCACAACCAAAAUUAUCCCAACAUGCUCCCAAUUGAUUUAUGUUGCGGAUAAAAUUGUCGGCAAAAUGGCCUUCAAUCAAGACUCAACUAAAUCGACAUUUAGCUCUUUAUGCAGCAAUGCCUUACCACCCAAUCACUAGCACAAAUUUCCUAAAACCUUAUUUAACCCAAGACUAGGGUUCCCAACAACUCAUAUAGGUACCCCUUUGAAUUACCACUGGAUACCUCACCUCAUCAUUUCAACUAACUUUUACAGCAAUAGAAUACACCACUACUUCAAACUUUCCUUCCAACUCGACUCUUUCAGAAGUCACGUAACUCAAUACCAAAAUCUCCCAUCAAACAAUUUUUGACUCCAAUCUUGCCCACUAAAAAUGGACGACUCCACGACAUUAAUCAUCAACAUUUCACCCAACAGAUUUGCACAAGAUGCUCACCUUAGCAUCUUGAUCAUAACCCAAACAAUCAUUGAUCACAUGAAAGGAAUGCUAUCCAGCUUAUGAGUUCCCAACUGGAGUUCCCAACUCGCAAUUGAACUCUAACACUUUAAGAUAUCAACUCAAUAACCCUUGGAAAAGACGUCAACCAAACACCUAUUUCCUUAUUCAAAGCAUGAUGAUUACUUAAGAGGUCGGCAUACAGAGGCAUAGUCUUGAUGAUAUGGACAUUUAUGGCACAAUACUGUCCAUAAAAAGAUAGAAACAACUACAUCACAAACCUAAUCAACACAUGGUGUCUAAAGCAUAUAAUGCUGAUAGAUCCGCCGCGGUCAGACCAUCACUCUAUAGACACAAAGUAUGACCAAGAAUAUGAGGUAGUACUAAAAAGAGAAAGGAACUGAAUAACCUAGUGCUCUGAUACCAACUGUCAGAACCCACCCCGAAUUUCACCUUGAAACUCGAAGUAAAUCCUGCGGUGACCACCUCUAAGGAAAGUUUACCGAAAAAUUCGGCAUAACCUCCCUUGAAAAUGGACAACCCUUCCUAAUAAUACCUGCAUACACUUCAAAAGAAUCCAUUUAUAAUCCUCUACUCCUGGAGCCUUCGUGCUCCCCAAAUCACAACACCACCCAAAAUUUACUAAUCUAAACAAAUCUCCUAUCCAACCAUUUAUAGGUUCAGAGCAACUCUAACAGGAAUAAAGGAAACAAAAUAAAUUAACAAGCGGAAGCUAUAUGAUGACUAUGCCUCAUCUCCAGGUACGCUCGACCUCAACUAAGCUAACCUGCAAGUUGGGUAUUUUUAAAACGAAGGGCCCAGGGGAAAACAUUUGAAACACGUUAGAGUGAGUGGACAAAAUCAUAAAUUUAACGAAAAUAUUUAUGCUUUCCCAAUUACAUUUCCAUAGAAAAUAUGCUGCAUACGACAGCUCAAAAACGCUCAACACAAAAACUGGCAAUUUCAUGACUAGCUCCGGCCACUCUCCAAAGCUCAAUAAAAUACAGUCUCUCAGGCUAAAAUAAAAUAUGUAUGUAUUACACUCAUCAUAUCCCUUGUCUGAAUUUUCUAUUUGUCUUUGUUGUUUUAAGAAAAUUCACACAAGGCUACGACGCUUGCGUCUAACGCUCACGUCGCACCAUAAUGGCAUUUUACCUCAUUAUGGUGGAAAAGACGGUGUAUAAAUAUAUACGCGCAUAUCCCCUAUAUAAAUUAUUAUAUUUAUAUAGGGCUACGACGAUUGCGUCUAACGCUCACGUCACACCAUAAUAGAAUUUUUACCUCAGUAUGGUGGAAAAGCACGUAUAGCUAGCUAGCAUUCCUUCAUAUACAUAUUAUUCUCAUAAUCGUCCAAAUAUGGAUAUAUAUAUAUACAUACUCACCGAAAAUCUAAUUUUCAGUAACUCUUCAAAAAUAAUAAAAAUUGUCAAUUGCAAAAGAAGCAAUAAAUAUAUGGCUACACCGAAAAUCUCAUUUCCGAUAACUUUCCAAAUAGCGAAGUUAACAAAAUAAAAUAAGAGCAUUUACUUCCAAAGAUAACUUCGCGAAAAUAAACAAUUCCACAAAUUGAUAUUCAAUAAAAUCAUUCAUUUAAAAUGAAAUCACCGCAUGCUUAUAAUUUAAAACGAACGUCCACUCACAACUCUAGGCAUAAGCCCGACGAAAUCCAAAUCGCCACUCCAAUGAGGUUUCCUCGAACCCUGGCACAAAUAUAUAAUUAAAUUCCCAACUAAAAUCCAAUAUUUAAACAAAAUAGGCAAAAUUAAAUAUGAACCGCAACCACGCUUAUCCUUGCCCAAUUUCGCUUUUCCUAAAACGAAACGAUCCAACUUUAAUACCAUAAUCGGCAGCCAUAAUUACAACUUCCCCCAGAAAAUGACUUAAAUCCUACGGCCGGAUUCUACCUUAUUAAUCCGCCAAAAUUACCAAACUUCGGAAAUUCACAAACCUAUCCAAAACUCAUCCAAAAAUUCCAAAGUUCACAUCAUUAAACUCCCCUUAAUAUUUCACACUUAAAACUAUACAAAACUCCCAACCAGCGACCGCGCCAGAGGCGGCUCCGCGGGUAGCGGCGGCCGGAGGCCGAUUCCGGCAACCUCCAAUGCCCACCAAAUUUUAACAGCAUCUUCCUCUCAACUCCCUCUACAACUUUCCUAACUAGCACAAACACAAAAUCCAAGCCUAGCUAGGGCAAUCGAACACAAACACCUAAAGAGCCCUAUGAUUUCAACUUUAAAUUUCUCCUUACCUAGCUGAAGAGGGAGUGAGCCUUUUGGAAGGAUUGAUGCACGGGAGGAGAGCUUCAAAACCAUAUAAGGGUUGCCCGGAUUGGUGGCCGGAGGAGGAAGUUCCGACGACCGGAAGUUCUGGGCAGUCAAACCUUUCGGGCGGCACCGCUCUCUCACGGUGGAACUAGGGCUCCUCUCACCGGUCCAGGGAGGUUGCUGGGUUGGAGGUCGACCGAACGGGACCGUUGCGGCGACGGUUGGUGGCCGGACGACGGCGGAUGAGCGGCCAGAAGUUUCGGCUGCGGGAAAGCUCGGGGAUGAAGCCAGGAGGGAGAGAAGAAGAGAGAGGGAAAAGAAAUGGGUGUUUGGGCCUCACACCCACCCAGUCCAACACCAUAUAAAAACCCACUCCAAAAUAAAACACCCCAAAAAAAAAUAAUACCCGAAUAAAAGUUACCUUUUACUAGCUAAAAUUUACCAUUUUUACCGUCAUCAUAUUUUCUUCCUAUGAAUAAUCCUCCGCACAUAACCGUCCCCGAAACCCGUCUAGGGACCAAUUAAAACUAUAACCUCAAUGACGGAGACGGUAAAAUUCUUAUUAUAACCAAGCUAAUAAAUAAGGUAAAAAUUUACGGGUCGGGAUGUGACAGUUAUCCUGAUUUACAAAUACACAAUGACAAUAAAUAAAAGUUGCAGUAAAAUAACAAUGAACACCAAAAUGUUUUUUACUCGUAGAAACCCUGUAAACAGCAAGAAAAACUGUGUGUCCCUAACUCUUGAGGGACAAACCUUUCCACUAUGUAAAACUCACUUCUUACAAGAUUAUAGUCUAAGGAUACAUCAACGACUUGCUCUCUUGCCUAAACUACUCACUAGUCUAGAUCUAUAUUUUCUCUCUUGUGUCUGAGUAUCUCACUCCUUA
rnacentral:lncRNA from 1 species